AACGAACGCUGGCGGCAGGCUUAACACAUGCAAGUCGAACGGUUGUAGCAAUACAGCAGUGGCGCACGGGUGAGUAACGCGUGGAUAUCUGCCUUUUGGUUCGGAAUAACUCCGGGAAACUGGAGCUAAUACCGGAUGGUUCCUACGGGAUAAAGAUUUAUCGCCAAAAGAUGAGUCCGCGUACGAUUAGCUAGUUGGUGGGGUAAUGGCCCACCAAGGCGACGAUCGUUAGCUGGUCUGAGAGGACGAUCAGCCACACUGGGACUGAGACACGGCCCAGACUCCUACGGGAGGCAGCAGUGGGGAAUAUUGGACAAUGGGGGCAACCCUGAUCCAGCCAUGCCGCGUGAGUGA
rnacentral:rRNA from 1 species